UAUCGAAGUGCCAGCAUUAUUUUCCGGAAAUUUAAGGGUCUAAAUGCAAAAACGAACAGACAUGCCACCAGUGACCCGACCCAAUUCUCUCGUAAUCCUCUCCCCUCCGUACUCUCCAGCACCCACCUCUCUCUCUUCCGUCCACGAUGCGGCGCCGCCGUGCCGUCCGACGCCGGCCGCGUCCGCCGCCUCUACUCACUGAGCGAACUGCGUCUUGUACCUCUCCACUGGAUCCCGACUCGCGCCCCGCCGUUCUGCACCUGAGAGGGACGCCACGGCUAACCCUAGCAAUGGUUCGGCACGGUCGCCGCCGCGGUUCCCGUGCCGCCACGCCUCGUGCUUCUCCCCUACCACAUCUGCGGCAUGAUUCUCGCCCCCGCCCCCGACCGCGUGCUCCUGCUCCUCCGUCUUUUUGCCAUGUGGCUUGGCGCCGACUGCGACGAGCCCUCACACGACGCCAUCGUCCCCAUCCCACGCAGGGGUCCUGCGCUGUACCCCGCCGUGGGCGCCCUCGAGGACCGCAACAUCGCCAGGGACCACGACAAUCAAGGCCUAAUCGUUGACAACCAGCGGUUCGUAUCGAGCAUCGCCGACCAGACCACCCACUUAGCUGAUCUCGUGAUGCUAUCAUCUAAGCUGGGCACUUUUCUGCAGCCACAAGCUUGCUAAUGGACGGGGAGGACAGCAGUCACAGACUUGCUCCUGAUGUCCUUUUCUUAAUUUUUAAGUAUAAGUAUAUCAGAUUUCUUCCCUGAAUGUUCAUGUAUUUGAUCACGCCAUUGAUAUUAAUGAGUCUUCUUCAUCAGGAGAUUAUACAGUAUGAAUUUAAGAUACUCCAGAUUUUCUCUUUUGCUAACUUAGUUCUUGAAGUGCUGACCGCUUGGUGCCCAUUCAUGUUCCAUUAAGAGUGAGGUUAUUACAAACACAUGGGAAAAUGGAUUUUUUUGUGAUUAGAAAAUAUGGAAAGAAAAUCGGUGGUCAACCUAGGUUAUUAACAUGUAUAUACAUUUUAAAAUACAACACUAUUUUUCUGCCAAGAAGGUCAUUCCUGGACAUGACCAGACAACCUCUUAUGUUAAGUAACCCUGAACCUAUCCACAAAAUUCCUGGUCACCACUACAAUGUUCUGUCAAGCAGGAUUCAUUUUUUUACAUCAUGUAUGCUUUCUAUCAUGUGUUUCCCUACUUAUGUAAUUACGCUAUAAGACGCACGCCAUGGCGAUCCUCAGCAGUGACGUGCAAAUAUAUCUGUAGGCAAUUCAAAUCACAGACACAUCAUCUUGUUGCAAAGACGAUCUCCAUGUAUAUAUGCUUUCUUGGUUCAUUUGCUGCUCAAGGGCUCGUCUAAUUUUGAGUUUUAGAAGCUCUGAUUUCCAAAUAUAGAUGUUCUUGCUGCUCUUCUUCACCUUAAAUUUGUUUCAGUAGAUUUUUUUUAAGAAUUAAAUUUGGAAUCUUUUAAUUGUGUCUAUGAUUCCAUCUUAAUAUCUAUGCAAUAUGCUGAUGGAAUCAUUUUCAAACUUUACCACCAGGAAGCACAAAUGUAGUAUGUUGCUAGCUGCGUGGACCAUCGCUUCUUGCAGUAUCAGAUCCAACCAAAUUGGUUAGUGGGAGUGCUGAUGGUUUCGCUGUGGAAUAUGAAUCAGGCAAUUCUAUUAUUACACUUGCUGUAUGCCAACUUUUGAAUUAUGACAAUGUGGUUAUCGAGCUUGCAUGUGAUGGCGGUAAUUUUGCCCUACAUUGUAGUAACAUUUUCUGAUGCACUCUGUAGGAUGGUAGUGUUGGCACUGUCAAAGCAAUGGUAAAUGUCUGCUCUGUACAAUAUCAACCUGAUUGCGCUCGCUCCAUUGCAAUUGACUCAGCAGAUCACAAGAUUACUGCUGUGAUCUUCACAACAUACAAGCCUCUUAUUGUACCUUAGUGGGACACACAAACUAUGUUGCGAAGACCGUAGUAUCUGGUUUCGCUGCCCAAGGAGCUUCAGUUUUCUAUCAGUAAAAGUACAUCAUAGACAGUUCCAAGUUCAUUAAUUUGAAAUUGACAUAUACACAUACUGUCUGUGCAUGUGCCAAUAUCCUUAGACAAUAGACACAAAAAGAGCUGAGGCGUUUGCCAAACAGCCUUAUUCUCGGCUUCUUCUUCAAAGAGGCUAGAGCAAUUUGUGUAUAGGUUGUUCACUUGAAUUCGAAUACCACAUCUUGAAUUAUAUGGGAGUCAUAUAAGUAAUAUUAAGAGAGACUGGAUCUUCCGCACUUUCUGUGUCUACCCCUUUAGUUGUGUAUUAAUGUUGCUUAUUACAGAACAAGGUUAUGUCUUUGUCUUUUUCACUAUUUUUUGGCCAUACACAAAGUGAUAGGGAAGCUAUAUUGUAGAUUAAGAGUUGAGAGAAAACUUCAUUUGGAUCAGAACGAGGAGGAAUAUCAAUCAUGUUACAAGAUUCUACCAGUAGCUUCACUGUCGCUGGCCCGCUUGCCGUUGGCCCGUUGCCGAUGUUCCUAGUUGGCCACACCCCCAAACAACAGCAUCACAAGUACAACUGAUGGAUCGGCUAGAUAUGUCUGUUCUAACCUAUGAAGGCUUCAGGUGAUUCAGUAAUGCUGAAAAAGGAUGGUAUGUUGCUUCUUUUUGUUUUCAGCUGUUUGGAAUAAUACAUGUACCACAUAUUUGCAAACCGAGGAUUUAAAAGAUAUAGAGUUUGUACCAUGUUAUUUUGCACAAUGAAUACUAAAUUGAGUGUUCCCGUUCUUUUCCACCUAUAAAUUUUGUACCCUCAGUUAGGAAUCUGAAUGAGGUGAAAGGCGACUCCGGACUUUUCAGAUCUCAUGGGUGAAUUCUAUCCUUGCACCCAAGUCAAGUGUGAAGCUAUCGUAAUUAGCACCUCCUAUUUAAACUGUUUUUAUUAGUACUUUCUGUGUAUUUAUUGAUUAGCAACCUCCUUUUAUUUGUAUGCCUAGUCAAUUAUUUUCCUUUGAAUAUUGGAUUGUUCAGGUACUAAACAUAUGCAAAGAAACUGAUGAGGCUCAAUGGCACCACGGGAUAUACUCCACGGGAGAAGCGGGCCGAAAAUGGAAGUGCUGGGCUCCCAUGCGCAGAUGUGCAUCCAUUAAGAAGUGAGCAAACUCAGGGGAAAAGCACAGAACAAUGGUUGCCAGUUCCUCUGUAAGAAGCACAGAUGCCGUCAUAACAACAUUGUCACUGUAGUGUACCCAUGUUACACGAAAGAGGGCAUGACAAGGAGAGGCAACUAGAGGCACAACUCUUACAGAAGAAACUGAAGGAAGAGAAGGCAAGAAAAUUCAAAGCUAUUCCCCACCCCUACACAACAGACUGUCCAGAGUACAUCUCCGUUUUUUCAGAGUACAUUUCAGUUUUUUUCAGAAUUUGAAGCACAUCUUAUACUUCAGAAACAAUUAAAUUACUCCACUUUCAGAAACAAUUAAAUUAGGAGUAGGAUGCAUAGCACUUCCAGAAACAAUUAAAUUAGGAGUACUACAGAAUUUUAAUCAACUUACUGUAGAAGCAUACCACUUCCAGAAACAAUUAAAUUAGGAUGCAAUAAUAUACUGUUAAUAAAGUACUGUAGGAUGCAAAUGUAGUUCCCUGUUAUCUUCUUCAGAGACCUGACUUGAAUUCGUUUUGAGACCUGACUUGAAUUCUUGCCUGGUAUCUUCUUCAGAGACCUGACUUGAAUUCGUUUUGAGACCUGACUUGAAUUUUUGCCUGUUAUCUUUUUGGAGCAGAGGAGUAGAGGAGGCGCAGAACAAAUGUCAGUUAAGGACAAGUGCCUGAGCUCACUGGUUUUUACUAUAAAUGUGUAUACUUUCUAUUCUGUAUACAAGAUAUGAUGGUACUGUGCUGACAUUGGAGGAACAAGCAGCGAAUCGGGAACAAAUGAUGAAAAUUGAGCACCUUUGGUCAGACAAGUAAGAUGGAAGCUAGUUAGAUGAACCCUAUUAGAUGAACCUUGUUGUGUAUUUUAUGUAAUGGUUUCAAACCAUGUUGUUCAUGAUGUGGAGAUGAACCCUAUUGGUCAUGUAAGUUAGAUGCCUCGAUUGUGAACCCUUGAAUGCUUCAGAAUGUUGGUUUGAGACCUAGACUGCUUGGAAAUAUUGGUUUUAAACAUUGUUUAACUUAUUGAGUUUGAUGUA